rnacentral:antisense_RNA from 1 species
UUUGAUCGAGCCCAGAUACAGCGGUCGUUCGGGGUCGCGUUCCCGCCCAUACGUGGCGAGCAGUGCCUGCGCCUC